AAGAAGCAAGAAAAGAUUACAACAACUAGGAAUUUAUAAAUGAAGAAUACAAUGAAAAGAAAUGGACAUAUCACAAUUAUUCUAAACUAAGACAGAAGAAAAUAAAUAUGAUGAAUUCCAACAGUCAAUUGAGGAGGGCGAUUCAUUGUUAAAAAACUAAUCUAAUGCCGUACACUGUUGGAUAAUUCCACAAUUUCAGCGGCGUCGUUAUUUCAUUAUUUUUUAGGAUUAAAUUUAAGAUUACAUUAUAGUUUGGCAUUGCAUUUAAGAGUUAUUAUUUAUGUAUUACAUGUAAUGUCAAUCUCACUUUUUUAUGCCUUUAAAUUAUUCUAACAAAAAUCAAUUAUAUUUUCGAUAAAUUUCAAUUAGAAGAGAGUGCGGUCCUGAACCUAGUUGAUUAAGUACACCUAAAUUUAGUCUCUAAGUUUUUUAUCGCUUUACCAUAGUAAAUCUUUAAAUUAAUUAUAAGAAACAUAACCAGUAGUUUAGUUAUUAGUUGUGAUUUGAUUGCCGAGCGUCAAAACAUCAAGGAGCGACAGAAUUACCAAACUACUAAGAGCUCAUUAGAGAUAGAUUCAAGGCUAUAGACAGGUUAACCGAUAGAAUAGAAAGGAAGAGCCUUAAUCUGAAGAAAGCCGAUUUCCCAGUCGAGUAUUUAGAUGGAAUCCACCAGAGAGCCUGGAGUGGAAAUAUCAGGAAGGCAUUAAAGCAUAGGAAUUUGGAGGAAUAAGGCGGUUAAGACAGGUCAAGAUAGAUAAAAGAAUAGAAUUGAUCAUUAAGAAAUAUAGGUUGUAAAACGGAAUGUUAAUAACCAAUUUGAUAUUUUAACUGCCUCGAAAAAGUUUUCCAAAUUAUGGCGAUGUAUCAUCCACUGAGAACGAGAAAUUAGCAUCAGUCUCAAAUGAAUAAUUACAAAACGAUUAACAUGUGGCCGACCCGGUCCAAAUCCACAUUAAUAAUCUCCUUAAUUCAUUCAUAGAUUUCAUUCACAAACCGAAAUUCACAAAAUUACCAUACUCUAUGUGUAAAACAUUAAUAAAAAUCCCUGGAACGUGUUCUUUGACGCCAAUGAAACGAGUUUUACAUGAAAAAGAAAUGUAAUAACACACUUUUGGUGGCGUUUACUAGCACAAUGACAAAAUAAAGGAAUUAUAAGUUGUGGAUGCCGUUAAAUGGUUUUCUAAAAUAUUAAAAUGUUUAUUCAUUGUUUGAAUGACACUCCUUAAAUUAUGUCUCGCUUGAAAUGAACCGUACUGAACCGCUCCUUCAAUGGUACUUCCGUUAUUUCUCUUAUCUUUAUAUUGUAAUGCUCAUAUUUACACUUGAGGAAUCUAGCAUCGGUAAUAAAGUUAAAUAGUGGGAGGUAGAGUUAGGGAUUCAGUAAAAUUUUAAGCGAAGUUUACUAUUCUUAUGGCAUGGUAAAGCUGGGGCUCAACACAAACAGAUAAAAACUAAAAACGAACACAACAUGAAAUAGCGUCAUUUCUCUCAGAAUUCGUGAUUUAUGGCCGAUUGAACCCUCUAUUUAUCUCUGUCCUGGAUCGGUGCGAAGUGUGCCAUUUUUUGUCGGGAAAUGAGCACAGUUCAAAGGAAGUCAGCAGCUGAAAUAGACCCUUCCAACUCGGCUAACGGCUGGUACAGUCAGCGCCGUGGUAAUUUUGUAGUCUAACGACGUUGGUUUCAAAUUUUCAUCAUUGUAGGUAUGAAUUUACCAAUUUACUACAUUUUCUACCGCCAACAGUGGUGGUGUAUCCUCUAUCGAUUUUAUCAAAAAGUAAAU
rnacentral:lncRNA from 1 species